CGCUCCAACUGGAUGCCAGUUUUCUAGUUGUUUCAUAGACGCGUUACACUGAGUCUUGUUAGGAUGGGACAUAAUACAACAUUCAAAACUGCCACGGGAAAAUAAUUUAAAAUAAUUUAAUGAUCUUUACUUAUAAAGGCAAACACGGAUAGUGCCAUUUUUUUUUCCCCCUAAGAAAGUUUCAUGCACUUUUUUUUUUUUAUCUAGGCAACAUUUCUUGACGAUGCUGAAGGCUCCUAUCAAUCACUAAAGGCAUGAUGAACGCACCACUGCACUGAACUUCGUUGAGAGCAACUUUUCCUUCAUCGCUCAUAUUGCAGGCGAGAUAUGAAUGGAUCGAGUGAUAUAUUGUAUAUUGCACUUUUGUCCAUCACCUGAAUCAGAUAUUAAACCUAGAGAUAGUGAGAGCGACAGAUCACACUGGCACUGUUCCGCUGAUACAUCACUGACACUGACGUCCGCCGCCCGACGCCUACCACUCACUACACUAGUACACCACAGUCACGAUCGUCAUGUUCAUUACAUUUGAGUUACGCUGCGCUAUGGUUCCGUCUUCAUUCCAGUUUCCUCGCUCAGAGAUACUACAGAAAUCCAGGGAUAGCAAUGGACAUUUUGCCUCUUUUCCCUCAUGCUGCGAGGAACAAGACGUACAACACGGAUGACCUUACCACUCUACAGGAAGACAAAGUCAACACACUACCUUCCUACAGUACAUGUGCGUGGAACAAGCAGUUUUAUCUUCAGUACGUUUCCCAAUUCUCUCUCUCUCUCUCUCUCUCUCUCUCUCUCUCUCUCUCUCUCUCUCUCUCUCUCUCAAUAUUUCUGGAUCGACAUUUUCAAGGUGCACACACUUUUCGUACUGAAACCUUCCAUUCAAAUUAUCGUCUGGACAAACACCUUAGGUUUUAGAUAUCUGGGAAUCAACAAUUAGUUAUAUAAAUAGUCUGGACAUCCUUCUUCGCCUUAAAAGUUAAGUAAAAUCUAGGAUUCGGUCAAGACGUUCAAAACCCAAUGCCAUUUUACUACACACGACGUAAAUUAGAGUAUGUGGAAAUAAAGGUCGAACAUCA